rnacentral:rRNA from 1 species
GACGAACGCUGGCGGCGUGCUUAACACAUGCAAGUCGAACGAAGAGCGAUGGAAGCUUGCUUCUAUCAAUCUUAGUGGCGAACGGGUGAGUAACGCGUAAUCAACCUGCCCUUCAGAGGGGGACAACAGUUGGAAACGACUGCUAAUACCGCAUACGAUCUAAUCUCGGCAUCGAGGAUAGAUGAAAGGUGGCCUCUACAUGUAAGCUAUCACUGAAGGAGGGGAUUGCGUCUGAUUAGCUAGUUGGAGGGGUAACGGCCCACCAAGGCGAUGAUCAGUAGCCGGUCUGAGAGGAUGAACGGCCACAUUGGGACUGAGACACGGCCCAGACUCCUACGGGAGGCAGCAGUGGGGAAUCUUCCGCAAUGGACGAAAGUCUGACGGAGCAACGCCGCGUGAGUGAUGACGGCCUUCGGGUUGUAAAGCUCUGUUAAUCGGGACGAAAGGCCUUCUUGCGAAUAGUUAGAAGGAUAG